AGAAGACCUGUCAUAUUUCUCUGAAGAGAAAAACUGAAAUCAGGCCCCCGACUUCCCUUCUGGACCAGAGUUCACACUGAUGAGGGUAAUUAACAAUUUCUGUGACCUUUUCAGAAGGUCCACUGGUUUUAUAAAUGGAUAGACUUGCUUCCCACUACAAACAGCCUGAUAAAAAGAACUGGAAACAGUGAGGCUAUUUCAGCAAAUAAUCUUGAAGAACAUUAGUUCAUGAUUGAAACAGUUAAAAUAGCAAAAAUGUAGACUUUUAAUCUGACUGCUAUGGAGUGUAAGGAGGCUCAUUCCCACUACAGAAACUCAACCUUUUAAGCAAAUAAUCUCAAGCCACCUACCAAAGUGAAAAAGCAAGUAAAAUCCUGCAGGUUUAAGUGUCUCAGUAUCUAAAGCCACCAGGGGCACAAGGAAUGUUGCAUUGCAGCUAUUUUUUUUUUCUAAGCUUGUCUUGGCUUUGGCCAUUAUGGCUGCUACAGUGACCUAUAGAAGAUAUUGGACAUCAAUCAAGACAAUGAAAUGAGCAGAGAAAUACAUCUGGCAGCUGGCAAUGUAGUGGGAUUGGGGCUGUCAGCAUUCCGCCAUGGGAAGAGGGGGAGUCAUCGGACUCUCAUCUGAGGUUAUCAUCAUACUCUUCUCCUGAGCAGCUUCUCUUGGUGUCAGGGAGUGACAGAGGACAUCAAGGAGUGGUGGAACUCACUAGUGACAUGUUUUGUAAGUCUUUAUCUAUACAGGGAAUGGAAUAUUUGAGUGAUGUAGUUGUCUCUUAAUUACCCAUUCUCCUGUAAGAAAUCCCAACAAACCUAAUAAAGUCAUUAUGUAAAGCUGAGAAUGGAUUUCUCUCAUUGUUCUAUUGGCACUCUCUCUAUCUGGGCAUAUUGUUUAUGACUCCCUCUCAGAAGUCAUUCGACUAUGAUGUGUUAGUAUGUUCAUUGUUCUAUAUGUGUACACUUCAGAACUGCGAGCAUGUUCAUUGGGCAGCUAAUGCAUCUGUGGACAGGAGUGUUAGUGUUCAAAGGUAGUAGUGAUGAACAGUCUCACUAAACAACUUACAAUUAGAUUGUAUCUGUAUCUAUCUGAUUUUCAGAUCCAUCACCAAAUAAAGUGACCCAACAAGGCCAGAGUAAGGUUUAAGUCAUCUCUGAUAUAGUCAGUUAUUGUUUGAUUUUACAUUUGAGGGUUUUUCAAAUAUAGGUGACCUUGCUAUUUAUGUUGAUGAACAAGCAGAAUGAAGAAGUAUUUCUAUUUGUUAGGUAGCUAGCUAGAUAUUGGCAGGCUUGAAGAACACUGGUGCUGAAGGCCACCCAUGCCAUACCAUAACCAAUGUCUUGAUAAACCAAGUGCUAGGAUUUCAGUACUCUUAUUAUUGACCAUAAGAGGGAGGCCUAAGUAAUAUCUUUGUCCUUGGGAAGAGAUACUUCAUGUUGAACUUUCCAGGUCUUUAACUGAUAGCUAUCUAAACCUGGUUCCAGGAACUUUAUACUUUAUAAGACGACUAGCUAGUGGUUGGUGUUACAAACACUGCCUUCCAGAAAGAAUCAAUCAAAAUGGGUUGGGCUGUCACUCGGACAGGAAAAUGCUCCACAGAGAGGCUAUCUCUUCCAGAUAAAAUGUAAUUCAGCAGAAUGAUUCCUUUGGUCCACAGCUCACACACUUGUGGGGAAUGUGCUGUUCUCAGCAAUGAACUACCUAUCUUCUAUGCUAUACUCUGUGUCUAAAAUUCAGUGUUGGUCAAGGAAUGAGAAGCUGGGGUAUUAAGAUAGGGGCAAAGGAAGAUCCUGGUGACAGUCAUCAGUGUCAUGUGGAAACAUUUUCCCAGAUGGAAACAGUAUUUACUCUCCCAAUGUUUUACAUAUAAAGAGUAGGAACAUUGUAUUUGUAUGUAAUUAUUUGAUUACUUAUGAACAUUACUAUUCCAGAUACUUGAUAUUGAAGUCAGUGAGAGUAGUCUUAAGUCCUACCUUUAGCUCUGUUGUCCUUGGCAUACAGAUAGACUUACUAUUCAUAUAAACCCAAAAGAAUUCAAGGGCAAGAGCCUGCAGUAGCCAGAGAAGGGACAAUGCUUAUCUGGAACUCCACUGCUGUGAAAACAUUUGCCAUGAUUUCUCCUUAUGAUGAUAGAAUUUCAAUAUUAUCCUCUCUAGAAAUUGCAUAAAAAUAUUCUGUGUUUCCAGUCAAUACACAUUUUUACAGACAAACCCUUUCUCAUCAUACUUUCUUAUUAUACUCUGCAAAAAUGACAGAUUACUAACAAGAGUUAGGGAGAAUUUGGAAAUAAAUUACCAGAAUUGGUGAUAAAUUCAAACAAUGCUGUAAAACCUCCGUGAGUUCCAGGUGACACCAAUAAAUCAAACUGAAAAUUGUAUUCCUGUUCAACAUGUGUAUUAAUUCCACCA